UACGUAGGGGGCAAGCGUUGUCCGGAUUUAUUGGGCGUAAAGAGCGUGUAGGCGGCUUUACAGGUCCGCUGUGAAAACUCGAGGCUCAACCUCGAGCUGUCGGUGGAAACCGUAUGGCUAGAGUCCGGAAGAGGAGAGUGGAAUUCCUGGUGUAGCGGUGAAAUGCGCAGAUAUCAGGAAGAACACCCGUGGCGAAGGCGGCUCUCUGGGACGGUACUGACGCUGAGACGCGAAAGCGUGGGGAGCGAACAGG
rnacentral:rRNA from 1 species